GAUGAACGCUAGCUACAGGCUUAACACAUGCAAGUCGAGGGGUAGCACGGAGGAAGCUUGCUUCCUUGGGUGACGACCGGCGCACGGGUGAGUAACGCGUAUCCUACCUACCCAUAACUCGGGCACAGCCGCUCGAAAGAGUGAUUGAUUCCCGAUAUGUCAUUAGAGUAGAUCUAAUGAUGAAAGAUUUAUCGGUUAUGGGUGGGGAUGCGUAAGAUUAGGUAGUUGGCGGGGUAACGGCCCACCUAGCCGACGAUCUUUAGGGGUUCUGAGAGGAAGGUCCCCCACACUGGUACUGAGACACGGACCAGACUCCUACGGGAGGCAGCAGUGAGGAAUAUUGGUCAAUGGGCGGAAGCCUGAACCAGCCAAGUAGCGUGAAGGAUUACAGCCCUACGGGUUUUAAACUUCUUUUAUAUAAGAGUAAUGUGCACUACGUGUAGUGUAUUGCAAGUAUUAUAUGAAUAAGCAUCGGCUAACUCCGUGCCAGCAGCCGCAGUAAUAC
rnacentral:rRNA from 1 species